rnacentral:rRNA from 1 species
CCUACGGGGGGCUGCAGUAGGGAAUAUUGCUCAAUGGGGGAAACCCUGAAGCAGCAACGCCGCGUGGAGGAUGAAGGUUUUCGGAAUGGUAACUCCUUUUGUUAGAGAAGAUAAUGACGGUAUCUAACGAAUAAGGACCGGCUAACUCCGUGCCAGCAGCGGCGGUAAUACGGAGGGUGCAAGCGUUACUCGGAAUAACUGGGCGUAAAGAGGGCGUAGGCGGGAUAGCAAGUCAGAUGUGAAAUCCUAUGGCUUAACCAUAGAACUGCAUUUGAAACUGUUAUUCUAGAGUAUGGGAGAGGUAGGUGGAAUUCUUGGUGUAGGGGUAAAAUCCGUAGAGACCAAGAGGAAUACUGAUUGCGAAGGCGACCUGCUAGAACAUAACUGACGCUGAUGCGCGAAAGCGUGGGGAUCAAACAGGAUUAGAUACCCGAGUAGUC